UUAGGUCUUUUAUGGGUUGUAAUGUGGCUCAAGGCAUAAGGUGAGAGUUUUUGGUACGAGGCUAAGGUCAUUCUGAACUUCAUUCUGGGCAACUGACUUCCCAGAUUCUUUUGAUCCUUGCCUAUUCUUGCGGGCCUAAGCACAUUCUUCCCUUUAUUCUUCCUUCUUUUUUUUUUCUUUUUCUCCUUCCUCUUUUUUUUAUUAUUUCUUUUUCUUUUUCUGGAAUUUUUCUGUUUUGGGAUUUAGAUUUCCCAUUUUACAAUUCCUUUGCACUAGUCCUGCCCCAUCGGAUCCACUACACUAUCUCCCUUUCUUUUGCCUUUAAGUUCAGUUUUGCCCGGGACGGCUCAAAUCUAGGCAAAUUUAUAAGUGAAUUCAAAAGAAUUAUUAAGCUCAAACGGGGUUGUGUAACGCCCCCAUCCCUUGCAAAUAGGAGAUGCUACCAAAAAUAU
rnacentral:lncRNA from 1 species